CCUACGGGGGGCUGCAGUGGGGAAUAUUGGACAAUGGGGGCAACCCUGAUCCAGCCAUGCCGCGUGUGUGAAGAAGGCCCUCGGGUUGUAAAGCACUUUCAGUGAGGAAGAACGCCUGGUGGUUAAUACCCAUCAGGAAAGACAUCACUCACAGAAGAAGCACCGGCUAACUCCGUGCCAGCAGCCGCGGUAAUACGGAGGGUGCGAGCGUUAAUCGGAAUUACUGGGCGUAAAGCGCGCGUAGGUGGCUUGAUAAACCGGUUGUGAAAGCCCCGGGCUCAACCUGGGAACGGCAUCCGGAACUGUCAAGCUAGAGUGCAGGAGAGGAAGGUAGAAUUCCCGGUGUAGCGGUGAAAUGCGUAGAGAUCGGGAGGAAUACCAGUGGCGAAGGCGGCCUUCUGGACUGACACUGACACUGAGGUGCGAAAGCGUGGGUAGCAAACAGGAUUAGAUACCCCAGUAGUC
rnacentral:rRNA from 1 species